rnacentral:rRNA from 1 species
UACGUAGGGGGCGAGCGUUGUCCGAAGUUACUGGGCGUAAAGCGCGUGUAGGCGGCACGGCAUGUCGGAUGUGAAAUCCCAUGGCUCAACCAUGGAAGUGCACCCGAAACUGCCGAGCUAGAGUCUCGGAGAGGAAGGCGGAAUGCUUGGUGUAGAGGUGAAAUUCGUAGAUAUCAAGCGGAACACCGGUGGCGAAGGCGGCCUUCUGGACGAUGACUGACGCUGAGACGCGAAAGCGUGGGGAGCAAACAGG